GGCCUUGUAACUUAGUAAAGUUCUAAAUUGCAGUCUUAGAAAAGGAGUUGUUCCCCUGGUCU
rnacentral:tRNA from 1 species